rnacentral:ncRNA from 1 species
GGUCGUUCCAGGGAGAUCCCCGACAAGGGGCUGAGACACCGAUGAGCCCGUCCUUCACGGACGGGCGGCGCGGAAAUCCUUCGAACCUGAACCGGCUCAUACCGGCGUAGGGAUUGGACCGCGGGCCCCGC